GAGGCUGUAGCUCAGUUGGUAGAGUUCUUGCCUGGCAUGCACAGAUCUCUGGGUUCCACACCCAGAACCACA
rnacentral:tRNA from 1 species